UGGGGUGGCCAGACCCGCUCAAGAAGAAGGCCAAGUAUCUUCUUCAAAAAUAGGCCACAUAUACGAGUAGAGAGAGAGAGAGAGAGAGAGAGAGAGAUGGGAGAAGGGACGUUCUCGUUGCUCGUCUGCCUCUUUGCAGCGGCAAUGUCAAUGGUACACGGUGAGGAUCCUUACCUCUUUUUCACAUGGAACGUUACCUACGGCACAAUUGCUCCACUUGGAGUCCCUCAACAAGGCAUUCUCAUAAACGGGCAAUUUCCCGGACCCAAUAUCAACUCCACUACCAACAACAACAUAAUCAUCAAUGUCUUCAACAACCUAGAUGAGUCAUUCCUGGUGACAUGGAACGGCAUCCAACAUAGGAAAAACUCUUGGCAAGAUGGUACACUAGGAACUAUGUGCCCAAUUCCCCCCAAGACAAACUACACCUAUCACUUCCAAGUCAAGGACCAAAUUGGAAGCUACAUCUACUACCCCACCACUGCCAUGCACAGGGCAGCUGGUGCCUUUGGUGGCCUCCGAGUGAACAGUCGCUUACUCAUUCCUGUCCCAUAUGCUGACCCCGAAGAUGAUUACACUGUCUUGAUUGGUGACUGGUACAUCAAAAGCCACUCUACCCUCAGGAAAAUCUUGGAUAGUGGCCGCUCCCUAGGUAGGCCAGAUGGUGUCCUCAUCAAUGGAAAAUCUGCCAAGGGCGACGGCAAGGAUGAGCCCUUGUUCCAUAUGAAGCCUGGCAAAACCUACAAAUACAGAAUAUGCAAUGUUGGCCUUAAGAAUUCCCUCAACUUCAGAAUCCAAGGCCACACCAUGAAGUUGGUGGAGAUGGAGGGCUCCCACACUGUCCAAAACACAUACCAAUCCCUUGACGUCCAUGUGGGACAAUGUUUCUCAGUUCUUGUCACUGCGGACCAAAAGCCGCAGGAAUACUUCAUGAUUGCCUCAACUCGGUUCACCAAGAGUGUGCUUACUGGUAAGGGUCUCAUCAGUUACACCAAUGGCAAGGGCCCAGCCUCACCUGAGAUCCCUGAGGCCCCUGUUGGUUGGGCCUGGUCCCUCAACCAAUUCCGCACCUUCCGUUGGAACCUCACUUCCAGUGCUGCCAGGCCUAACCCUCAAGGAUCCUUCCACUAUGGUGCCAUUAACAUCACCCGCACCAUCAAGCUCGUGAACACAGCCAGCAAAGUUGACGGCAAUCUUCGUUAUGCUGUAAAUGGCAUGUCCCACGUCGACCCUCCCACCCCGCUGAAGCUAGCAGAGUACUAUGGAGUCGCGGAUAAGGUCUUCAAAUAUAACAUCAUCUCUGACGAUCCACAAUCUCAAGGUGUAGAAGUUACCAAGGCACCGAUUGUCUUGAACACAACUUUCCGGAACUUUGUAGAGAUUAUCUUCGAGAACCACGAGAAGAGCAUACAAUCUUGGCAUUUGGAUGGAUACUCCUUCUUCGCAGUUGCCAUUGAGCCUGGGAGGUGGAACCCAGAACGUCGAAGGAAUUACAAUCUUCUUGACGCUGUAAGCAGGCACACAGUCCAAGUUUUUCCCAACUCAUGGGCAGCCAUUUUCUUGACAUUUGAUAAUCCCGGAAUGUGGAAUAUAAGGUCUGAGGUGGCAGAGAGGCGCUACCUCGGACAACAACUCUAUGUUAGCCUUUUGUCUCCUGCCCGCUCCCUUAGAGACGAGUACAACAUUCCUGACGAUGCCUUGCUUUGUGGCAUUGUAAAGGAUCUACCCAAGCCCCCACCGUACAGCAUCUAAGAUGAUCUACCCUCACGUCACGCCAUUUCAGUGAGAGUGAGAAGAAGAUAACGGGAGAGACCACCUAUCAUGUGUAUGAGAUGAGACACAUUUGAGUUAUGAAAUUCUGCUUGGACUACCAUCUCAGGGAAGUUCUGAUCAACCCAACUUCAUUUAUGCGAUCCUAGAAUUCCAAUCCAGAGGACUAAAAACCUUGACUAGUGGCCCUCGAACUGAUGGCCAACACAGCUAGCAUUCCUAAAGUCUUACGAAAUCAUAAAUUUUAUAUCCAUUCACUUUUAUAUAUUUCUUGUGCAUUUAUUAUUGUAAUUGUUUGCAUCACUUUUUUUUUUAAUAUAAAAUAAAAGUUUUGGCCAA